rnacentral:rRNA from 1 species
UACGGAGGGUGCAAGCGUUGUCCGGAAUCACUGGGCGUAAAGGGCGCGUAGGCGGCUCAUGAAGGCUGUGGUGAAAGUCCGGGGCUCAACCUCGGAUCGGCCGUGGCGACUCGUGGGCUGGAGCACUGUAGAGGCGGGUGGAAUUCCGGGUGGUAGCGGUGGAAUGCGCAGAUAUCAGGAGGAACACCGGUGGCGAAGGCGGGUCUCUGGGCCGAUACUGACGCUGAGGAGCGAAAGCGUGGGGAGCGAACAGG